rnacentral:lncRNA from 1 species
AGAGGGUAUCAAGAUUGGUGGCGGAGUGUGAUGCUGUGAUCCUGCUCAAAAUUGUGUAGUUCCUUUCGAAUCGUGUUAAGAAUACUCUCAAGUUUAGCUGAUGGAUUUACUGUGCAUAAAUUAUCUCAUGUGUUUGGAAAGGCUAACAAUAGUGUUCACUGGCUAUCAAUUCUUCCAUAUGGAGAUAGAAUUAGCUUCCAAAGUUGG